GCGCUUAACACAUGCAAGUCGAGGCGUGCAUGGUCUUAGCUUGCUAAGGCCGAUGGCGACCGGCGCACGGGUGAGUAACACGUAUCCAACCUGCCGUCUACUCUUGGACAGCCUUCUGAAAGGAAGAUUAAUACAAGAUGGCAUCAUGAGUCCGCAUGUUCACAUGAUUAAAGGUAUUCCGGUAGACGAUGGGGAUGCGUUCCAUUAGAUAGUAGGCGGGGUAACGGCCCACCUAGUCUUCGAUGGAUAGGGGUUCUGAGAGGAAGGUCCCCCACAUUGGAACUGAGACACGGUCCAAACUCCUACGGGAGGCAGCAGUGAGGAAUAUUGGUCAAUGGGCGAGAGCCUGAACCAGCCAAGUAGCGUGAAGGAUGACUGCCCUAUGGGUUGUAAACUUCUUUUAUAAAGGAAUAAAGUCGGGUAUGGAUACCCGUUUGCAUGUACUUUAUGAAUAAGGAUCGGCUAACUCCGUGCCAGCAGCCGCGGUAAUACGGAGGAUCCGAGCGUUAUCCGGAUUUAUUGGGUUUAAAGGGAGCGUAGAUGGAUGUUUAAGUCAGUUGUGAAAGUUUGCGGCUCAACCGUAAAAUUGCAGUUGAUACUGGAUAUCUUGAGUGCAGUUGAGGCAGGCGGAAUUCGUGGUGUAGCGGUGAAAUGCUUAGAUAUCACGAAGAACUCCGAUUGCGAAGGCAGCCUGCUAAGCUGCAACUGACAUUGAGGCUCGAAAGUGUGGGUAUCAAACAGGAUUAGAUACCCUGGUAGUCCACACGGUAAACGAUGAAUACUCGCUGUUUGCGAUAUACUGCAAGCGGCCAAGCGAAAGCGUUAAGUAUUCCACCUGGGGAGUACGCCGGCAACGGUGAAACUCAAAGGAAUUGACGGGGGCCCGCACAAGCGGAGGAACAUGUGGUUUAAUUCGAUGAUACGCGAGGAACCUUACCCGGGCUUAAAUUGCAGAUGAAUUACGGUGAAAGCCGUAAGCCGCAAGGCAUCUGUGAAGGUGCUGCAUGGUUGUCGUCAGCUCGUGCCGUGAGGUGUCGGCUUAAGUGCCAUAACGAGCGCAACCCUUGUUGUCAGUUACUAACAGGUUCCGCUGAGGACUCUGACAAGACUGCCAUCGUAAGAUGUGAGGAAGGUGGGGAUGACGUCAAAUCAGCACGGCCCUUACGUCCGGGGCUACACACGUGUUACAAUGGGGGGUACAGAGGGCCGCUACCACGCGAGUGGAUGCCAAUCCCCAAAACCUCUCUCAGUUCGGACUGGAGUCUGCAACCCGACUCCACGAAGCUGGAUUCGCUAGUAAUCGCGCAUCAGCCACGGCGCGGUGAAUACGUUCCCGGGCCUUGCACACACCGCCC
rnacentral:rRNA from 1 species